rnacentral:lncRNA from 1 species
CUUUUUUAUAAUUUUAAUAGAUUAUAACAUAUAUUUAAGUAAUACUUAUAUAUCUUAUAUGAAAUUGACAAAAUAUAGACAUUUAUUUACCGUCACAUUUAUAUUGCAACCAUGCUAUUUCACUGUCAAACAAAAACAUGUUUGAUAUAGUCCCAGACCAUAGAAAGCAUUGUGUAUGAUUUUAUAAAUGAGUUUAUGAAGAAAUACAAGGUUGAGGAAUUAUUAGUUUGCGGCUUAAUAUCCAAAAUUCACUAUUGUCACCCAAAAGGUUAAGCUAUGAGUAUUGCAGUAAAAGGAUUAACAGUGCUUCUUACAUAAAAUUGUUUCCUGCUCCACUAGAACCAGAAAGUCCCGGAUACUUAUAAUAUUUGUUUAAUUAGAGAAAAUGUAUGGCAAUUCAGUACAAAUCAAGCCAAAUUUUCUACAGUUGAUUGGUCAAUCUAUACCCAUUCAAAUCUUUACAAAAUUAUUGAAUGAAACCAAAUGAGAAUUUCUUUCAAUUCAAAUUCAUUAAAAAUAAGUAGAUUAAAAAUUUAAGAUAAACAAAACAUCUAUAAUUUAAAUUUGAACAGCCUGGCAAUACUGUUUUGAUUAUCAAAUGCUAAUUUGGAUUUCAAAUGUGCUUAGAGAAAGAGGAGGGAAAAAUGCUAUGGUUUUGAUAUACCAGUAUGCACAUAUGGUUUGAUUGUCUGACUAUGUCUUCAAAAUAAUUCUUAAAAAUUAAUGGCAAACUGUUUUCUGGAGAAAAUCAGAUUACUAAACUUGCCUUUAUCAAACAGUGGUAAUGACUAUUAAAAAAAAACACCACCAUAGAUUUAUUAUUAUGUUUGGGGAGUAAAAGUUCAAAAUUUCCUAUGAAAACAAAUAAUUUGCACCUUAAUUUUAAUGUGUUGCUGGAACCCUCUAAUUUCAUGUGACUGUGUUCUAGUGUCCCCAAAGAAACACAUUUUUCUGGAAUAGCCUUAAUUAUAUAAAACAGACUUUUAUUUGAAUUUAGAAUUAUUUUUAAUUAUGGAAUUUGCAUAAUUUCUUGAACUUGAAAUUUUUAAUAAAUUCCAUGUUUUUGAGGUAUUAUAAUAUUUUGAUAGGUUCAUAACACUUCCCAUACAAUGUAUUUUGUAUAGAUAGUGUUGUGCGAUGCACAGUACAUUAUUUUGAAAAUGUAUGAUCUUCUUUGUUAUAGAAAAUGUUGUGCGCAGCAAAGGACAUUAAAGUACAAAAUAAACAAGGAAUUUAUUAAAAAUUUCAAGCACAAGAAAUUAUGCAAAUUCCAUAAUUAAAAAUAAUUCAAAGUUUAAAUAAUAGCCUGUUAUAAGUAUUUUCUAUUAUUAGCUACUGACUGUAUUUAUGCCUUUAACCCCUUCUAUAAUGUUAAUAGGCUAUGAUGAUCUAUUCCAGUAAAGAUUAGUUGUUUAUAUUGUAACUAUAAUAAUAAAUGUAAACAUUUCUAUAGCUAUUGUGUCAACAAUCUGAAAAAAAGAGUCACACAUAAUCCCUUAUUAUGAGGACAAAGAUUUAAUAUCUUAACGGCAGUAAACAUAGUCAAUAUUUCAUAAACUUACUUUAUUACUAAACAUGGGUUU